rnacentral:rRNA from 1 species
UACAGAGGGUGCGAGCGUUAAUCGGAAUUACUGGGCGUAAAGCGUGCGUAGACGGCUAUCUAAGUCGGGUGUGAAAGCCCCGGGCUCCAACCUGGGAAUUGCAUUCGAGACUGAAUAGCUAGGGUGCGGUAGAGGGAAGCGGAAUUUCCGGUGUAGCGGUGAAAUGCGUAGAUAUCGGAAGGAACAUCAGUGGCGAAAGCGGACUUCCUGGAC